rnacentral:lncRNA from 1 species
AGAUAGGCACAGCAGCAGAUCAGAAAGCCUGUUCAUCCAGAAGCAGAGUUCUAGCCAGGAAAGUGAAUACCAGUCUGCAACUUCAACCUCAAUGGGUGACUAUCUGUGAAGCUCCUCUGCUGGGGGAGAGUGGGCAGCCUCUCCCUUGCCCACUGGGAGAAAAGGGAGUGACCCCGGGAAUGCACUUGGUAAAUAGGAGUUCAAUAACUGUUUGUUGAAGAAAGAAAAGAACUAUGGUGGGUCAGAUGAGAGACAAAAAUCACUCUGCAGAGAUACAGCAUGCAGGAGACCACCUCUGAGACUGAGGCAAGAGUGUGCCUGAAAUGCCAGGGGUUCGAUCUAGGUCCUGCUGUUCCCUGACACAGAAAGCCAAUGACUGACACAAUGAGUAUUGCCAAAGAAGAAGGCUUUCAUCGAGUGCUGCAGCCAAGGAAAUGGAAGAUCAGUUUCAAAUCCAUCUCCCUGAACAACUAAAAAUAGAGGUUUCUACAGCAGGGAAGAAAUGUGACUAUGCAUGGGAAAACAGGAAUUAGGGAGGGGUCAUGAGGCAAUCAUGAUGAAUGAGGGGUCUGACAUCCCAUUGGCUGGAUGUGGUUACAUGAUGAGUUUCUGUUCUUUGACACUUUUUGAAAGGCCUGAGGGCCCUUUCCUUACAAAGAAACUCAGAUAAAACCAAUGUGAGUUUCAAGCUUUAAGACCAGAAGAGUCCAUUUCUAUGUUACUAUAGGAAAAGAAAAAAACUGCCUAUGGGACUAUUGGGUUGGUUUCAAGAGGUUAUCUGAAAGGCAAGGCGGCCUCCAUAACUGCUUAUUUUCUUUUCUUUUGAAACUGUCAUUGUCUUCCCAACAUCUAGGCUUAUGAUCAUAUGGGUAAGCUUAGAUCAUACAUUCUGUCUACUCUACCCAGACCAGAAUCAUACAAUCAAAGACAUACAGAGUCAACUAGGUAAUAUAAGUGAGCAGAGUUGGACUGGAGUAAGGUCCAUGGAGGACUGCAACUAAACGGGUACAUCUUGUCUGGAGUUGGACUAAAUCAUUGUGAAGCUUUAAGUCAGAUUUUCUUAGUGUGUUAUUUAUACACCCUCCUGGCAUAUGAGUGACAGGAAAGUCAAAGUCAUUGACUCUCUAAUAUUUAUUGAGCACCUUCAAAUACUUUUUGAGUAUCUACUAUUAUUGGGCACCUACAAACACUUAUUGACCAUGUGCCAAGCACAGUGCCUAGCAAGUUCUUCUUUUCUAAUCAAAUCAACAGGUUGGACAUCCCUACCCAAGGCUCAAAUGGUAACAGGUCCAUGCCUUACUUGUGUCAGUUCUCUUAUUGAAAGAGCAUCUCCUAACCAUCCUACCAAUAAGGUUUACUUAUACUAAGAUUUUCUUCUGCCUCUGCCAACCCUGAGACAGCAAGACCAAUUCCUCCUCUCCCCUGUCCUCCUCCUCGCCUACUCCACAUGAAGACAACGAGGAUGAAGACCUUCAUGAUGAUCCAUUUCCACUUAAUGAACAGUUUGGAAAAUACUCAUCUUUGAUUAAAAAGUUGGAAAGAACUGACCGGGCGCGGUGGCUCACGCCUGUAAUCUCAGCACUUUGGGAGGCGGAGGCGGGCGGAUCACAAGGUCAAGAGAUCGAGACCACGGUGAAACCCCGUCUCUACUAAAAAUACAAAAAAAAAAAAAUCAGCCGAGCUCGGUGGCUGGCACCUAUAGUCCCAGCUACUUGGGAGGCUGAGGCAGGAGAAUGGCGUGAACCCACGAGGCGGAGCUUGCAGUGAGCUAAUACCGCGUCACUGCACUCCAGCCUAGGUGACAGAGGAAGACUCCGUCUCAAAAAAAAAAAAAAAAAAAAAAAAAAAAGUUGGAAAGAACUGAUCCACAUAGGUGAUUUUAAGGAAGGAUGAGGAAGCUCUCCAGAAGCCCCCCUCACUUCCAUUCAAUUUUUCCUCUGAAUGCCAUUAAUACCUACAACGAAUUUCCUAGCAUUUAACCUAACAAAGCUUUUAAAGAUUUAAUAUUACCCUCUUUUCCCUCAAAUGAUAUUUGCAUAAGCCAUAAUUAAGUUUUUGGAGUCUCAUUAAAAAAAAAAGCUAUUGAAAGAAAUAAAGCAGUGAAGCAAACAUUAUAAGUUGCAGUAGCUAAUCACGCAAAAAUGAUAAUAGCUUCCAAACUGUAGUCAAAAUUUACUUAUAUUUCCUGAAUAUUGUGACUAUUAAUAUUUUAAGAUCUAUUAAUACCAAGAUAUAUCAUUGCUUUCUAAUUUGCUCUUUUAUUCAAGAUGAUCUUUAACAGCGAAAAUCUUGUAACCCAAUAUCAUAAUCAAGCCAUUGAACUUUUAAAUUGAAGCCGGGUUCUUUUUAAGCACCUCAUUUUUAAACAUCAGAUGAAAAAGCAUUUAUUCUAAGAUGCAAAUUUUUAAUUAUUUAAGAGAGUAGAAGCUUCUUUGGACCUGAAAUACCAAAAUGAAAUGUCCCUUAACAAAUAUGAUUUUUUUUAAAAGAUGCAAAUUCAUCAUUCUUAGUUUAACUCCGCCAUGAAUUUUCUCUUUAAUGCAAAAUAGUACAUUUCAUUGUGUUACCAUUUUGUAUUUUGCUGUAUCAAAAUCCUCAGCAACUUUAUAAAUUCUUUAAGGAGUGAAAGUGUGUAAUUUGUGCUGUGCCAGAAACAGAACUCACAGUUUGCGAUCACAUAAUUCAUAUACAUGAGGUUGAUAAGCAAAUGGCAAGGAACACCGUAAGUUUCAGCAACAUUUACCUCAAUCAAUCCUCUGUGAUGGGAAUGUUUUUUGCAGGGCUCACCAAAGUUCACUGGAUGAUUGAAAUAAGAAAGAGUUGGGGGAAUAACUAGGAUAUAUGUCAAAUAUGUAAAAAACAAAGGAGAACCACGGAGGUUGAGACAGGAUGGUUGUCCUUCCUUGGAACUGGUCUCAUUAAAGUCCUCCUCAGAAAAUAUUUUCUCAGAACUUUGGAUAAGAAUUGCAUUACUGGCUUCUUUUUGAAGAUAAUGGUUAUUUUCAACAUUUUAUGCAACUGAAUGAUAAAAUGACAAGAACUUUAAAUUAAACCUUAGCAUGCUACCAAACUAAGCAUUGUGUAGAGGGGUUAGGUUGGGAACAGCCCGGCAGACAUUUCUUUUCUUGCUUUCCUUUUUUUCUUUUUUUUAAUCAAUUUAACAAAUGUUUGUUUUCAAUUUGUUUUUGACAAUGGACUUAAUAAACUCUUUUACCUAGUUAAGAUUUAUGAAAAGUGUUUCUCUCC